AGAGUUGAAUGCCCUCAAAUAUUUACCCAACAUCAGUUAGUUAGUGUACCAUCUAAAACUAUCAUUUAGCUUACUGAAGUAGCAAGAUUCGUACCGUGUUAUUCUUCACCUUUAUUGUGUGCUUCAGGUUAUUUGGUACUGUGAGUUGUUGUUGGGACUCCUUCUUUCUCAGGUUACUUGCUGCUGUUACCUGCUGCUGGACUUGCCAGUGUUGUCUGCCUAGGACUUGCUCCAGAUCAUAAUUUUGUUAGCAUGGUGGCAUGAUUCAAUGUCCUUCCACUUUCUUCUCCUCCUAAUGUAUGAUGCACUCUAAAUGACAACCAUCGUAUGCAUAAUUGAUAUGUUUACAAAAAAUUAACAGUGCCUUUGAGUACCAAAUAGUCUCUCUAGAAUUAUAUGAUUUCUUUUCAGGCCCCUAAUUACUAGGUUGUAUUUAAACAUAUGUGCAUCUACAUACAGCAAGCCUGGUGUAGGUUAUUGCCAGCUAAAACAUACAAUCAUCCAUUUUCUUGACCCAGAAAAAGUAGGGGAAUCCUCUACAGUAUAUUAUAUAUAGUGAGAGGGAUAUUUAUAUUAGAGAUAUACAGUCUAUUGUAUCCAUAUUAUUUUGAGCACCUCUCAUAGCGGCAUUUUUAUGGAUUAUUAAAAUAGUUAGGAUCAUCACAAUGUGAUCAUAUAGUGCAGUAUUUCCUCUUUCUCUUUUGUACAGCGAAGUGUUCAUGGUUCAGUUUAGUUAUUCUCUAUUAUUCAUCUUAUUAAAUUGAUAAGGAUAUAUAAUUAUUUUGUCGUCUUGAUGUUAAACUGGACUCCGACAUGCUUUAUUUCUUGGCUAUUUUGGGUCUGGUAGGUAUAAAUAAACCUAUCCAUUCUAAACUGAACUUCACACAAGGAAGUUCAUUAUAAAAAAGUUCCUGGUUUACCGGAGGUCUACUUAAUUUUUACCUGUUAGUACUACCAUUUUAAAUAUAACUGAGUUACUGCCGACUUCAUACUGUUUGGAAAAAUAGUUAAUGCUUAUUUUAUGAGCAACAACUUCUAAUAUACACUUUUUCAAAACUGUUCGUGAUAUCUUACAUGUGCAAUUGAGCCGGUGUUGUUCCUUUGCUCUGUGUACCAUCAUAUUUGAGAAGUUUUCCCAUUUCAUGUGAUCGUGUUACCUUACUGGUAGGACAACUGACCUUGGAAUUAUUGAAGAUUGAUUUUCCCCAUCGUUUAAAAAUACUACUUAAACUACAUGGUGUUAGUUCUUGAUUGAGUAUUAGAUAUAGUUCGCUCUGAUUCACUCGUACGAUACUCUGCCCCGUAGUACACAUAGCCUGCAACUUGGCACACGAAACGCAAAUGCUUUGAAAUUUAUCAUGUCUCUGCUAGGUAUUACAUUUUUUAUCCAGCAUCUACUCUACAAUUACAGUAGCAUGGAGGGUAGAGAUGAACUGCCUGUACGCAUGCAACGGCGCGGGGUUCCUUGGCUUAUACGAAGGAACAGUAUAUCUCUUUGUACCCAGAUAAUAUUAUUCUUCGUUAUCUUGGACUACUAUUCUUUAACAUGUCGUCUAUUGGUCUGUUUGUUUCCGAGAAGGAAGGCUUCCGGUGCCGCACGUUUCGUCUACCCAUGGUGCAGCUAACCGAAAAGAACGCAGGCUGAUCAUUGAUUCAAAACGUGCUAGCUUUAAAGAUCAUGUUUUACAUGUUACGAUGCCUUCGAUUCGUCACAGCGAAACCAAUGAACAACCAGUUGAACUGAUGGAUAACAUAUGUGCCAAGGAUACACCAGUUAUCCCACAAGCAGUGGUCGAACAUCUGCCUACACUAAGUGAUAAACAACAUGGAACAAACCCUGUCGAAGACGUGCCUGAUGCCGAUGGCAAGAAAAACAUCAGUUGAUUCCCCGUUAGAAAAGUUGUCUAAUAGGUGACACGGGUCACCGAUAGUUGUUCUCCCUCCAGCUAUCUAGGUGUUGUAGAAUCUUACCAUUCUACUCUUCUCUUUUGCUAUGUAUUGUACAUAUGAAUGAACCGUACGAUGCAAUAGCUGCCUUCUGCAUCUCUUCUAGCUGGUGGCUCGACCCUUCCGUGCCCUUAGUUAUGUACAAUUGCUUUUGCUCCAUGUUGCUACCUCCAUUCUUAUUGUUACUUCUUUGUGCUUUCUACUAGCUGCCAUACUUGGUUUGGAGAAAAGAAUUUGUACUGAAAUGGAUUAUCA